GUGUUUGCUUCAGCAGCACAUAUAGUAAAAUUGGAAUGAUGCAGAGAAGAUUAGCAUGGCCCUUGCCCAAGGAUGACACGCAAAUUCAUGAAGCGUUCCAUGUUUUU
ensembl:snRNA U6 U6 spliceosomal RNA